UUCCGGUUGAUCCCGCCGGACCUGACUGCUAUCGGAUUGAUACUAAGCCAUGCGAGUCAUUGUAGCAAUACAAGGCAUACGGCUCAGUAACGCGUAGUCAACCUAACCUAUGGACGGGAAUAACCUCGGGAAACUGAGAAUAAUGCCCGAUAGAACAUUAUGCCUGGAAUGGCUUAUGUUCCAAAUGAUUUAUCGCCGUAGGAUGGGACUGCGGCCUAUCAGUUUGUUGGUGAGGUAAUGGCCCACCAAGACUAUUACAGGUACGGGCUCUGAGAGGAGUAGCCCGGAGAUGGGUACUGAGACACGGACCCAGGCCCUAUGGGGCGCAGCAGGCGAGAAAACUUUGCAAUGUGCGAAAGCACGACAAGGUUAAUCCGAGUGAUUUGUGCUAAACGAAUCUUUUGUUAGUCCUAGAAACACUAACGAAUAAGGGGUGGGCAAGUUCUGGUGUCAGCCGCCGCGGUAAAACCAGCACCUCAAGUGGUCAGGAUGAUUAUUGGGCCUAAAGCAUCCGUAGCCGGCUCUGUAAGUUUUCGGUUAAAUCUGUACGCUUAACGUACAGGCUGCCGGGAAUACUGCAAAGCUAGGGAGUGGGAGAGGUAGACGGUACUCGGUAGGAAGUGGUAAAAUGCUUUGAUCUAUCGAUGACCACCUGUGGCGAAGGCGGUCUACCAGAACACGUCCGACGGUGAGGGAUGAAAGCUGGGGGAGCAAACCGGAUUAGAUACCCGGGUAGUCCCAGCUGUAAACUAUGCAAACUCAGUGAUGCAUUGGCUUGUGGCCAAUGCAGUGCUGCAGGGAAGCCGUUAAGUUUGCCGCCUGGGAAGUACGUACGCAAGUAUGAAACUUAAAGGAAUUGGCGGGGGAGCACCACAAGGGGUGAAGCCUGCGGUUCAAUUGGAGUCAACGCCGGG
rnacentral:rRNA from 1 species